rnacentral:piRNA from 1 species
UAGCUUGGGGGUUAGGGGUUGUCUCU